rnacentral:rRNA from 1 species
GAUGAACGCUGGCGGCGUGCUUAACACAUGCAAGUCGAACGGAAAGGCCCAAGCUUGCUUGGGUACUCGAGUGGCGAACGGGUGAGUAGCACGUGGGUGAUCUGCCCUGCACUUCGGGAUAAGCCUGGGAAACUGGGUCUAAUACCGGAUAGGACGAUGGUUUGGAUGCCAUUGUGGAAAGUUUUUUCGGUGUGGGAUGAGCUCGCGGCCUAUCAGCUUGUUGGUGGGGUAAUGGCCUACCAAGGCGUCGACGGGUAGCCGGCCUGAGAGGGUGUACGGCCACAUUGGGACUGAGAUACGGCCCAGACUCCUACGGGAGGCAGCAGUGGGGAAUAUUGCACAAUGGGCGCAGGCCUGAUGCAGCGACGCCGCGUGGGGGAUGACGGCCUUCGGGUUGUAAACUCCUUUCGCUAGGGACGAAGCGUUUUUGUGACGGUACCUGGAGAAGAAGCACCGGCUAACUACGUG